GCCCGGAUGGCGAAAUCGGUAGACGCAAGGGACUUAAAAUCCCUCGGGGGUAACCCCGUGCCGGUUCGAGCCCGGCUCCGGGCACCA
rnacentral:tRNA from 1 species